GAUGAACGCUAGCUACAGGCUUAACACAUGCAAGUCGAGGGGUAGCACGGAGGAAGCUUGCUUCCUUGGGUGACGACCGGCGCACGGGUGAGUAACGCGUAUCCGACCUACCCAUAACUCGGGCACAGCCGCUCGAAAGAGUGAUUGAUUCCCGAUAUGUCCUUGGAGUAGAUUCAAUGAUGAAAGAUUUAUCGGUUAUGGAUGGGGAUGCGUAAGAUUAGGUAGUAGGCGGGGUAACGGCCCACCUAGCCGACGAUCUUUAGGGGUUCUGAGAGGAAGGUCCCCCACACUGGUACUGAGACACGGACCAGACUCCUACGGGAGGCAGCAGUGAGGAAUAUUGGUCAAUGGGCGGAAGCCUGAACCAGCCAAGUAGCGUGAAGGAUUACAGCCCUACGGGUUUUAAACUUCAUUUAUAUAAGAGUAAUGUGCACUACGUGUAGUGUAUUGCAAGUAUUAUAUGAAUAAGCAUCGGCUAACUCCGUGCCAGCAGCCGCGG
rnacentral:rRNA from 1 species